CAUCAAUCAACUUUCUACUACAGAUUUGAAAAUGCUACAUGUGAAAAAGAAUCAUGCCUCAUGUGAUGGAGGAGAAGAAGUGGGCUUUGGGCUGCUGUGUUGGGCAAGAGACUAUGAUUCAUCUUCCUGCAUGGAUUGCCUUGAGUCAUGCUGUCCUCAUCAUUAGAAUGGAAAUACAUCUAAUGCUUCUAUCAUGAUGAAAUCUAAAAUAAGUCAAUAAGGAUGUUCUUUUAGUCAAAUUGAUGUCUUUGCCUGGGAUGCCCUUCCAUCUUAGUCGACCUAGACAAUAUUCCGCAUCUUUCAAGAAUCAUUUGGUGACUCAUAAAUCUAUAUCUCAAGCCCAGACCUCUGUCCUCAGGUCCUAGGUCAGGUAUCCCACUGCUCACUAAUCACAGCUACUGGAAUUCUUCUGGGGCAUCUUGACUCAUCAUGAGAUAUUUCUUCCAUGGCUCAACAAAGAGAAUGGGUUCCUCUUUUUUUGGUGCCUCCACUGUUCUUUGUGUAAGCUUCUCUAACACUGUCUGUAAUAGUUUAUUCAAGGUCUUUAUGUAAUCGUUUAUUCAAGGUCUUCAAAUACUGGGCACACAGAACACCCUCCCCCCUCUUCACUUUUGGAAACUUAUUACUAUGAUAAUAACAAUAACAGCUAUUGUUAAUAGUAUUAUUUGCUGAACUGGUAUGAGUAUGGUAGGCAGCUAAUGCCAACAGAUUGGAAGCUAUUGACCAGAUAAAACCUAUAAACCAUUCCUGCAAAUAGAAAUUUUUAUAUUCGUUUUAAUAAAUCAUGUUAAUUUCUCAUGGCACUUGUAGAUAAAUUAAUGAAUCCAUAAAUAAAUAAAUGUAUAAAUGUAUGCAUUAAUAAACAAGUCAUAUCAUUUUCUUAGAUAGGAUUUUUGGUAGCAAAAGUGAGUCAUUUUAGAAAACUCAAAGUCUGUCUCAUCAGCUUCUAGGUAACAAAUUUCAUAUUUGAUGACAGCCAAUCUAACAAUCCAGUUUAUGUUCUUAAGCAGUGAAUCAAAUUAACCUACCAAAGUUUAAUGCCAAAAAGUUUCUCUCCUGUGAGUCCAGGGAAAAGAUGCACAAUAACUACCUGUGACAAGUAUGUAAUAUUAAUUAGGUAGCUAAUUAAUUUUUAAUAUCAUGCCUGUUUAAUUAGUAACCAAAGAGCCAAAGAAUGAUGGCUGCCUCAUACAGUUAGAGCUUAGAUUGUAUAUUUUGCAGGUGUGAAAGCUUAAACUGCAGUAUGCUUGAUAACUUCACAUGCAGUUCAAGAUUUAUGAGGCCUAUAUGAUACUUUAAAAGUUUUCUCCAGCC
rnacentral:lncRNA from 10 species